rnacentral:pre_miRNA from 1 species
CAACUACUCCCUCCGUCCCAAAAUUCUUGUCUUACAUUUGUCUAGAUACGGAUGUAUCUAAUACUAAAAUGUGACUUGAUACAUCCGUAUCUAGACAAAUCUAAGACACGAAUUUUGGGACGGAGGGAGUACUUU